AGAGUCUGGAACAUCUCAUCUGCACGUCUCCUGCAUCACUGCGGCUGCGUCCCAAUUGCAUACGGCACACUUAUACUCUAAGUACUGCAUUAAACGAAGUGCUGGGGACAGAUGCACAAUGGGAGAUGGCAGGAGUUUGGACUGAUUGUCUGCUGUUCUACAAGCAAAACCAGCUGAUCAGACCCAAUCCCACUGAUUAAACCACUGAAACGGACGGAUUGAUAUACGGACGGACGGACGGACGGAUCAAGUGCGAGUUUCCUUAUAGGACUUUUAUUUUGGCAUUGGCCGUUAGCACAUCCACGACCACAGUGUCAUCAGCCCCCUCAUCAUCAUCACUUGGCCUCUGCUGGCAUUUUGCACAUCAUUAGAAUCUGUUUCAGGGCUUUCUGCACAUCUUCAUCCAUCUGACCCUGAAACACAAAAUCACAGUAUAUAUUAACUUAGCCGAGAACAACACUGUUACAGUUAUACAUAUAAAUUAUUCUUAAAUUAGAAUAUUGUAAUGCGCUGAGUUACGUGAGUGUGUCGUCUCUCACUUACACACUUAUCUCUCUACUUCUCAUAGAUGUUGAGAUUGUGAGAUGUAGAGAGAGUGAGAGGUAGAGAGUGUGAGAGGUAGAGAGUGUGAGAGGUAGAGAGUGAGAGGUAGAGAGUGUGAGAUGUAGAGAGAGUGAGAGAGGUAGAGAGUGAGAGGUAGAGAGAGUGAGAGAGGUAGAGAGUGUGAGAUGUAGAGAGAGUGAGAGAGGUAGAGAGUGAGAGGUAGAGAGAGUGAGAGAGGUAGAGAGUGAGAGAGGUAGAGAGUGAGAGGUAGAGAGAGUGAGAGAGGUAGAGAGUGUGAGAUAGGUAGAGAGUGUGAGAGAGGUAGAGAGUGUGAGAGGUGUUUUAUGCUUUGGCAAUAGGUUUGACUCUUACAUUCAUGCCAAUAAAGCACUGUUGAACUGAACUGAGAGGUGUAGAGAGGUAGAGAGUGUGUGAGAGGUAGAGUGUUAGAUGUAGAGUGUGUGAGAGGGGUAGAGCAUGUGUUCUGUAUAAAGUGUGAGAUGUAGAAAGAGUGAGAGAAGUGAAAG